ensembl:lincRNA linc-48 ncRNA
UAAGACAUCCGAUGGGGGUACGUCGAGGUCGUCGAUGUGUUUCGAUCUUCAGCUACUACGCCGUUAUCAUGUACCCUGCACAGCGUCGGACACAAACAUCUCCGUGGUGCGCGUAAACUCGACGACGACUCGUGAUGGACGUCUAAAAAGGGAUAUGGGAGACAGAAAUAAUGCACCCGUUCUUUACGUGUUAUCACUGCUUUAGAAAUAAACUAUUUUUAGUGUUUCCCUCGUUGUACGCAAUCUUUAUUCUUCACUUCACCAUUUCAUUACUUCAUCAUGCGGAACACAGACUACUGCUACACAAAAAAGUUAUAGUCGUCACGUUUCUUAAACCUUUUUUUUUACUUUUUGAUGGUUUUUGUUUUAGCGACUGACCAAAACAAUCUUGCGGUCAAGGCUUUUUCAGUGUAAGUACGUUAUGAUAAGCUAGGAACAAUGAAGUUUGGGAAUU